GAUGAAGAACGUAGUGAAAUGCGAUAAGUAAUGCGAAUUGCAGAAUUCAGUGAGUCAUCGAAUCUUUGAACGCACAUUGCGCCCUGUGGUAUUCCGCAGGGCAUGCCUGUUCGAGCGUCAUUUCAACCCUCAAGCUCUGCUUGGUGUUGGGCCACGCCCUCGCGGCCGGCCCCAAAGCCAGUGGCGGCGCCGUCCGGCUCUAAGCGUAGUACAUCUCUCGCUCUAGGGCCCGGCGGCUGCCUGCCAGAACCCCAAACUCUUAUGGUUGACCUCGGAUCAGGUAGGGAUACCCGCUGAACUUAAGCAUAUCAAUAAGCGGAGGA
rnacentral:misc_RNA from 1 species